GAUGAACGCUGGCGGCGUGCCUAAUACAUGCAAGUCGAGCGAACAGAUGAGGAGCUUGCUCCUCUGACGUUAGCGGCGGACGGGUGAGUAACACGUGGAUAACCUACCUAUAAGACUGGGAUAACUUCGGGAAACCGGAGCUAAUACCGGAUAAUAUAUUGAACCGCAUGGUUCAAUAGUGAAAGACGGUUUUGCUGUCACUUAUAGAUGGAUCCGCGCCGCAUUAGCUAGUUGGUAAGGUAACGGCUUACCAAGGCAACGAUGCGUAGCCGACCGGAGAGGGUGAUCGCCCACCCUGGAACUGAGACACGGUCCAGACGCCUACGAGAGGCAGCAGAAGCGAAUCUGCCGCAAUGGGCGAGAGCCUGACGGAGCAACGCCGCGUGAGUGAUGAAGGUCUUCGGAUCGUAAUACUCUGUUAUUAGGGAAGAACAAAUGUGUAAGUAACUAUGCACGUCUUGACGGUACCUAAUCAGAAAGCCACGGCUAACUACGUG
rnacentral:rRNA from 1 species